rnacentral:rRNA from 1 species
AACGAACGCUGGCGGCAGGCUUAACACAUGCAAGUCGAACGCGUCCUUCGGGACGAGUGGCAGACGGGUGAGUAACACGUGGGAACCUACCUGAUGGUACGGAAUAACACAGGGAAACUUGUGCUAAUACCGUAUGUGCCCUUCGGGGGAAAGAUUUAUCGGUAAGGGAUGAGCCCGCGUUGGAUUAGCUAGUUGGUGGGGUAAAGGCCUACCAAGGCGACGAUCCAUAGCUGGUCUGAGAGGAUGAUCAGCCACACUGGGACUGAGACACGGCCCAGACUCCUACGGGAGGCAGCAGUGGGGAAUAUUGGACAAUGGGCGCAAGCCUGAUCCAGCCAUGCCGCGUGAGUGAUGAAGGCCCUAGGGUUGUAAAGCUCUUUCACCGGUGAAGAUAAUGACGGUAACCGGAGAAGAAGCCCCGGCUAACUUCGUGCCAGCCGCCGCAGUAAUAC